rnacentral:misc_RNA from 1 species
UAACCAAUCCAGCCUAGCUGGGAGUUGGGCCUCGCUAUAUAGUGGGCCUUAAAAUCAGUGGCGGUGCUUUUAGGCUCUACGCGUAGUAAAUUUCUCGCUAUAGAGUCCUGAGGAAUACUUGCCAGCAACCCUUUAUUUCUUA